AUUAUUAUUAUAUUAUUAUUAUAUUAUUAUUAUUAAUAAUGUUAUUAUACAUAUACGUAUAUGUAUGCAUAUAUAUGCGCGUGUACGUCCAUACAUGGAUGCGCGUGUUCUCCGUUCGUAUACGCGGAUGCAAUAUAUUCGUUACGUGUAUAAAUUUUGCAUGUAACGCAUAUGUCGUAUACGCGUAUAGACAGGCGUGCUUGCCACCUGUGUAUGACCGUAUGUGCGUGCGUGUCUAUGAACGCGUGUAGACAUGAUUGUAUGUAUGUAUGUACGUACGUAUGUAUAUAUAUGUAUGUAUGUUUGUUUGUAUGUUUGUGUGCAUGCAUGCAUGCACGUAUGUAUGUAUGCGUGUACGUAUGUACGAUGUAUGCGAGUCAAACGAUGCACAGAUAUGUGUACGCAUACGUAUGUAUACGUAUACGUAUAUUAAUUUUUAAGUACUACUACAUUGUCACAUUGUUUACUGCCAAGUGAUACGCGAAGAUCAGCGACGUUGACGUUAGGAUUGUGAUGGCUUGUACUAAUUAAGAGAAAUCGGUGAAGCCUGCGAUUUUAUUAUACCGCGGUUCAAUGUUGCAAGUAUACGUGUGAGAGAUCGCGUAUAUGUGAUUGUGAGAGCGUGCGCGUGUGUGAAUGUUAGUGUAGGUGUACGUAUGGAAAAGAAAAGAGAAAGAACUCGAUGAUAGGAAUUAAGAGAGAGCAGUAGACGAAAGAACUCGAGUGACAAGGAAUUAAGCGUAACGAUGUAACGGAAGUGGUGGGACGAUUGGCGAUGCCGGAAAGAAUGUCGGAACGAGCGAGUCAAGCGAGAACGAAUGGAGGUAGAAUUUUAUGAUAGAAGAGUCGUGACGCGUGAAUGAGAUCUCGCGAGUAUCGAUAUAGUGAUAAAUUUGAAUAAUUUUUGUACGGUUGAGAAAGAGAGAAGAACGCGCGGAUACGUUGUGUGCCGCGCGUGUAUGCUUGCGCGUAUACGUACGGACGCGUACAUCCGCGUGCAUCGGCAUGCAUCCGCGCGUGAACAAUUGCGCGCGUAAACGCGGCCGUGCGCGAACGUACGAUGCGAUGUCGCGUAUGCGUAGAGCGCGCCAAGCGCCGCUAGACCUUCUAUUGUUGGUCUAUAAUGUGUACAGUCAGUGAAACUAUUAUUAUUAUUAAGGGUCAGACAGGUCUUACGGAAGUAGAAACUGAAAGGUUUAGGAAUCAACGGUUCUACGAACAUUUAUCGUGUUCGGUCGGUUACGAUCACGGAAUAAAGCGUCGAACGGACGUACGAAACUUUAAUCGAGACAAAACUGAAUAUUAAGAACCGCGCAUACGUGUAAUAUUUGUUUGUUUUUUCGGUGAUAGCGUUACGAGAGCGGAAAUUAGUCUAAAUUUAAAAAAGACGUUUGUUGUUUCGUUGUUUCUUUUGCUUCUUCGCGUUCUUUUUUUCUUUCUUAUUUUUUCCUUUUCUUUGGUUAUCUUUUGAAAUUCGAAAACGAAACAAAGAACCGUUGAACACGAACGAAUGUGAGAUAAAUAGAGAAAAAGCAUAGCUUAUAUGUUUUGUUUUUCUUUUUUUUUUUUUUUUAAUUUUAAAAUUUUACUUUCAAAAUUUUUACGUUACGUUUCGUCGCGUGAUUCGCGCAGCGCUCGUGCGCGCUCGCGCAGAUCUUUUUAGAAACGACUGACUACCGAAAUUUGAUAAUGAUAGUCACGGAUUGAUUUAGGACGCGUAAAGUGAACGCAACGUUUACGAUCGCGUGAAUGCAUACAGCACACAUUUUGAGCGUUGACUCGUUGUUAUUGUUAGCCUGUUAGUUAAUUAGUAAGAGUUGUAAGUGCGGGCUUAUAGUUGGUCCCUGUCCCUGGAGCCCAGACACCCCGCCCCCUGUUCUGGAGAAUAUUCGAAAAAAGAUAUAAGCAAAAGCUUGAUACCAUUUCACACGCAACCCCCCGACUUAUUACGAUGAAAAGGUAGAAAGUUAAAAGUUUAACGAGAAACAUUAAAAUUCGUUUGUAACGAAGCGACUGCAUAUCACCGUAUUGUUCUAUCGUGUAGGAUCGGAAAACGAAUUAGCGCGUACGUCGGCUCCGUUUCAAUAUCACGUGCACACGUACAUACAGAAAAAAAAAGCACGCGCGCGCGCGUACAAGUAGGCAUCGGGAAAACACGGUUUCAUACGGGAACGAUAGAAAUUUCAGUACGCGAGAAAGAAAACACGAAUUCUGUCCACUGAAAGUUUUCGAGCGAUCGAUUUUCGCGAACGAAUAGGGUUCAAGGAUGAUCGAUCGUUUGAAAACUAAUCGCAUCGAUGAGCAUUUUGUUACAUACUAUUAUUAUUAUUCGCUUUUUACUUAAACUUCAUAUUUCUAUGCCAUCGAUACCGUUUUAACAGCGAUAAUAUGAUGACUGUAACGUAAAGAUCAAAGGCCCCUUACUUUUACUUCCUGUCCCCAGUCAUGCGGUCAUUGUCUAUCGGAAGGAAGCAACUCGGAGUGUGAACGGGAGAAAGAGAAGAUAUGGAGCAUGAGAGCGAGAGAACGAGAGAGAGAGAGAGAGCGAGAGAGAAAGAGAGAGAGGUAGAGAGAAAGCGGGAGAACUUGGAGGAGGAUGAUGGCAAGGAUGGUUGGAUGGAAGGGAAGCAAAGGAAUCGAAGCGAAUGAGAAAAGAAAAGAUAGAAAAGGAGCCAGCGGUUAGGAACGAAACAAACAGAAACUGAUAUAUUUCCUCUGUAUCGGUUGAAUGUUAUUACCUUUUAUUCCUUUAGCCUUCUCCCAUCCCCCUCUCCUAUCAAUCAUCAUUAUUCACUUACCAUAUUUUAUACCUACCUAUUCUACUUACCUACACACGUCCUAUUUAUAAAAUCAUGUUAUCGAGGAUGUAAUAAUAUUAAUAUUAACGAUACGAUAAGAAUAAUAUUGCUAAUUAUACUGAGUGGAUUUUUGUAACACGAUAACGUUUCAAUAUAAAUUCUGGUUUUCCUUCGAAAUUUGUAGUAAAGGAAGAUCAUAUACGUAUAUUACGAAACAGCAGGCAGGCAGGUAGGAAGCAAAGAUGCAAGCGAGAAAAAAGAAAGAAAGAAAGAAAGAAAGAACGGACGGCCGAACGAACGAACGAACGAAAGCACGAACGAACGAAAGAGAAAGCUAGCAAGAAAGAGAGUAAGAAAGAAAGAACGAUAGAUAGCAAGAAAGAAAGGGAUAAAGGGAAAAAGGAAACAAAUCCAGCUUGCGGGGGCAAGGAAGCAUAACCUGGCAAAAGCGGAAGCAGUUCACGGUGACGAGACUUUAGACUGAUCUAGGUACUAGCGUUACGAUAUUGGCCCUACCCCAGCCUUAAGGUGCCCCAACGUUAUAUCAUUUACCCUCUUUGCGCUAUUUUAUACUUUGACCGGUGUGCGGCAGCUGGGGUGCCUGGGGGGUUAUCGGUCGCAUUUAGGAUAAAAUGCACCACUGUGGCUGACGAUGCUGUAGCCACGCGCGCCCUUUUACCCGGUCAUUGACCUAAUUCGCGGCACACAUCCUUGGGAACUUGACUCUUUUUGGUUGGCCCGUGUCAGGCGGAUGUUGUGUGAUUUUUGGGUCGCUCAAUUUAUGUUAAUAACGGCCCAAAGAUGUGUUUUUUAAUUAUAUAUAAAUAUAUUAUAUAUUAUAUUCCUGCGAAUAUGCAUUUUGUGACGUGAUGUUAUAUAGCACUAAUGAGGAAAACAAAUAACGAACGAUAACAAACAAACAAACAAAAAAAAAAUGAACAAUUGUGUACGAAAAGAAAAUGACAAAAAAAAUGUUAAAAAAAAAACAACAAAGUACGUAACACUAUUCACACGAAUAUAAACGGUUUAUGUUUCUCGCGCCACAUGCCACACGUCAGCUCCAUGGCUAUAAAAAAAAGAAAAAAAAAAAUUUCUUACAAAUUUCUUACAAAUUUCUUACGACCAAAUUCUUCUAUCGUUAGUAAUUGCGUUUUCAGAUUAUUUUUUUUAAUUAUUCAUCUUCCAAUUGCUUUGCUUUUUUUUAAUUCCCGCAAUUUUAAAAGUUGCCCUCAAUAAUUUUAGUGUGACGUAGUUGAACAUAAUAAUUAUCGAUGAAUUUAAAAACGACGUUGAAACGGUUCCUUUUUUGGGCUAGGAGCUUGAUUUAAAGUGUCAAAGAUUUUUGUGUAUGACCAGAUGUAUUCUACAUGUCUCAAUAAACAGUUGUAUGUGAAUUACCUUUCUUAAACGAUGCUGUAUUUAUUUGCACGGUAUCAGCUUUCCCGAAUACCGCGCGAGUCGUCGUUACGGCUAUUGAUUUUUCCUUUUUCCAUAAUUUCCUGCUGCUCGUAUCUCCUCCGACGCUAUUGUACGAGUAACGAUAACGUUGUAGGGGUGAAAAGAUAGAAGAGAGGGAAAAGCAAUAUCGUCCGCGUUCUCAUCUCGAAAUAAUUUAAAAGCGCUUUCGUUCUCUCCGCGAUAUCCUAAUAAAUCGACGAAUAUUUCAGAUUUUUAACCAUUUUAUUUUUACAUUUAUACAAUAAAUACAUUUUUCUUAUUUUAAAAAUUUUUGAAAAUCGGAUGUUAAUUUUUAUUUUGUCGAGCGUGGGAUAUGACGUAAGGGAGUACAUAAUAAAGUUCGAUUACAAUAACGAAUAUCAAGGAGUGAUCGUUUCCGUGACGAGUUUAAACGAUCCUGUUCGAUCGUUCGUACCAGCGUCUCGUCUCGAGGCUUCUUCGAUCGAUGCAGAAUCCCUCGUUCUCGGUCGUUUCACCCCCACUGUUGCUCUGACUGAUCCGAGCGACCUCUCUUCGUUUCUCCCUUACGGUUAGGGCGUAUCGGGGUAAACCAGUGUCUCCGUAGAACUGGAAAGAGUGGGUUACGGCUGCAGGGUGUUCCUCGUCGUUCGGAUCGUCUCGUUCAACGUCUCUGUUGGUCUCACGAAAGUUCGCGCGUGCAACGUACAUGUGCGUGCGUGCACGCGCGCACCUCGUACGCUCUAGAUUUCCGUAUGGCGUACGCGUAAUACAGAAGUUUCGCUGGUGCAUGCAGCAGAUAUCGGGGGCGACGUAUCGCGUCGACAUAGUUCUCGUAACACGAUUUCAAGGAGUCGAUAACGAGUUAACGAAAGGUGUGCGUUACGCGUGACACGCGUCGAAAAGAUCACGAAAUUGCUGGAUUCUGCGUUUCGUCACCGUGUUUAUUGUUUACGGAGCGACCAUCGUUCUGACGACUCGCAUUUCGCGAUUUGCGGAACGCGCGAGCUCGAGGAGAUCACGAUCUAGCGCGGCGUGAAGUGCGCGCGCUUUGCAUUCGAUGAGAAAGGACGCUCGUGCACCGGAGGAAAACGUUCGAGAACCUGGUGGUGGUGGUGGUGGUGGUCGGUCGACGGUCGACCGACGACGACAUCGUCGUAUCUUUUCCUUCAACGUUUCAAUUCGUGCGAACGUUGAAUAAGAUCCGAAGCUUAAACUCGGUGAUUUACCGAGGUACGAAUUCGCGUUGCUGUUCGAUCACAUGAUGUUUGGGAGUAACUUUUCAUAUUCUUCCUAUACGUGGAAUAAAGAUUGACGAUAUGGAUGCACUAUGGCUUCGGUACUCUGGCAUGCUUCUUGGAACAAUUUCGUUUCUCCCGCUUUUAUCUUGUUCUUGCUACUUUGUCCGCGUAGCAGUACAGAAUGCGAUCAAAAGUUUAUAAGCACGCCGGAUGGUCCGCUGGAAGGAACUUUUUAUGCUCCGUCGUUAAUUAACCCGGAAAGGGAAUCUCGACAAUGCGUGUACACGUUUUUCGCCGGACCGCGGCAACGGGUAGAGUUGGUUUUCAAUACGUUCGGUCUUCGAGGAACUCCGCCACACGGCGCCGCCGUUGGAGAAAUACCUGCCUGCGUCCACGAAUACGUUGACUUGUACACCGAAAUAAGAUCGGAGAACGUGACCAAGUUAGUGGAUACGCCUUUCGGUGGACGUUUCUGCGGUCCGAUACCACCUCGCAGGCGGGUUUCCCUUUACCAGGGAAUCGCCAUUAGUUUCUACACCGAUAAAAAUAUCACGUUACCCAGCCUCUUUAGCGGUACUUACGCGUUUGUCAAUGCAUCGGAAUACGAGGUGGGAACGCCAGCUCCUAGCACGCCGUGUUCUUUUACGGUGAAUUCGGAGCACAAACGUAGCGGCAACAUAUUAUCUCCUACGUAUCCGGGCACUUAUCCAAAAGGUCUGACGUGUAGCUACAAGUUUAUCGGGAAACAUAGCCAACGAGUACGCUUGGAAUUUCGAGACUUUGAUUUGUACUUUGGAGGUCCGCAUUGUCCGUUGGACUACGUUAAAGUUUACGAUGGUUUGGACAAUACGUCUGCCGUUAUUGGAACAUAUUGUGGACAGCAACGAAACUUGGUGUUGUAUUCGUCCGAAUCUAGUCUAUUCGUACUGUUCGAAACUCUUGAACGUACAGCAAACACGCAAAAUCGGGGGUUCAAGGGAAUCUUCGAAUUCUCCGAAAGUUUUGUUAAGUUAGACUUCAUAACCGCUUACAAGGGUGAGCAUAUUCGAGGAUCGGAAUGCGAUCAGAAGAUCUUGAGUAAAAAGGAGUCCUCUGGUCAUGUCGUUAGUCCAAAUUACCCGUAUCCGUACAUACCGAAGGUGGUAUGUCGGUAUUUCAUAUAUGGAAUGCAAGACUCGCAACAUCUGGAACGCGUUCGAUUAGUGUUCACGACAUUUCAGAUACCAAGAAAUACGACAACAGGAGAUUCGUCGUGCACCGAUGGCUACUUAAAGUUGUAUCUGAAAGGACAAGAAGCCACCGAUUCUUACGAUAAAUUCGAUCACGAAUUAUGCGGUUUAAAGAGCAAUCCGAGCCACGUAGUUAGCGAUGGUCCGAGACUGGUAAUGGUAUUUAGUAGCGGAGAAUCACAAGGGCAAGGUUUUAAAGCAAACUACACUUUUGAAACGGAAUAUAAGAUACCGGGUACAGCAGCUCCUGAUGGAAGCUGUACGUUCACGUACCGCAGUUCCUCGCGCAAGAAGGGAGAAUUUAAUUCUCCGCGACAUCCCAGCAAUUAUCCCAGUGACACGAAUUGUACUUAUUUUUUUUUAGCGACUCCGAACGAACAAGUUACCUUGAUAUUCGAUUAUUUUAAAGUCAGAACGAAAAACACGAAUGUCACUGUUGGUCACUAUGGGCUAAAUGUUUGUCAAGACGAUUGGCUAGAAAUCUACAAUAUGUAUCGAGACGAUACGGAAAAAUUGAUAGGUAGAUAUUGUGGUAGCACGGCUCCGGGACCCGUAGAAUCAAAUCUCGGUGCGCUCGGUUUAAAAGUAAUCCUUCAUUCGGAUUUCGAACUAGUUUCUAGCGGCUUCAAAGCGCGCUACACGUUCGAAGUGGCCAAACCCAUUUUUGGAGAUUGUGGAUCGAAUAUAAGUAGCGUGAAUUACGGCAUAAUCGCCAGUCCAAAUUUUCCGAACAAAUACGACGGACCCGCGAGAAAUUUUGCUAGCAAAACUUGUAAUUGGUUUAUAAGAGUUCGGCCCAACCACCAGAUACUGUUAAACUUUGAAUUAUUUUCCGUAGAAGGUGAUCAGUCAGUUCGCGGUUGUCCAGCUGCAGUACUACGCAUGUGGUAUUCUUCGUUGUUAACGCCGAUCGAACUGUGUGGCGUAAAAACGCCGGACGUUAAAUGGACGUAUUUGUCCGAGGAUAAUAACAUGCGGCUUAGCUUUAUUUUGGCCGACAAGGCGGUAGGACAACAAGGCUUCAGAGCAACAUGGACCGAAGUCAGCAUGAACACCAGCUGCCAGGAUCAGUUUUUGUGCAGCAAAAGUAAAUACUGCAUCGCCGAUUCGCUUCGGUGUAAUAACAUUUAUAAUUGUGGCCCGGCUGAUACUUCGGACGAGGAAAACUGUGCAGCAUCAGCCCCAUUGUCGCCAGCACUGGCUGGAGUCUCUGCCAUGCUUCUUCUCUCUCUGUGCUUUGUGUUCGUGGCCAUCUGAGCCCUUCAUGAAGCUUCCGACGAUCCGGCAUGUUAUGAUCUUCCCUAUCACGUGAUACGGUUGUACAGGCGGAUAAUUAUGCUGUUCCUGCGAGUUACGCCGUUGGUACGGUGUUGGUAGUAUUGAUCGUUUGCCUGUU
rnacentral:misc_RNA from 1 species